GGAAGGGUACAGCUCAGUGGUAGAGCACAUGCUUAGCACGCACAAGGUCCUGGGUUCUAUCCCCAGUACCUCCA
rfam:Camelus ferus unplaced genomic scaffold scaffold1626, whole genome shotgun sequence.